rnacentral:rRNA from 1 species
CCUACGGGAGGCAGCAGUGAGGAAUAUUGGUCAAUGGGCGAGAGCCUGAACCAGCCAAGUCGCGUGAGGGAGUACUGCCCUAUGGGUUGUAAACCUCUUUUGUCGGGGAGCAAAAGCCGGACGUGUCCGGCUGUGAGAGUACCCGAAGAAAAAGCAUCGGCUAACUCCGUGCCAGCAGCCGCGGUAAUACGGAGGAUGCGAGCGUUAUCCGGAUUUAUUGGGUUUAAAGGGUGCGCAGGCGGAUUUUUAAGUCAGCGGUAAAAUCGUGGGGCUCAACCCCAUCCAGCCGUUGAAACUGGGGAUCUAGAGUGUGCGAGAGGUAUGCGGAAUGCGUGGUGUAGCGGUGAAAUGCAGAGAUAUCACGCAGAACCCCGAUUGCGAAGGCAGCAUACCGGUGCACAACUGACGCUCAGGCACGAAAGCGUGGGUAUCGAACAGGAUUAGAUACCCCUGUAGUC